rnacentral:rRNA from 1 species
UACGUAGGGGGCUAGCGUUGUCCGGAAUCAUUGGGCGUAAAGCGCGUGUAGGCGGUCCUUCAAGUCCGCUGUGAAAGUCGGGGGCUCAACCCUCGAAUGCCGGUGGAUACUGUCGGGCUUGAGUGCGGAAGAGGCGAGUGGAAUUCCUGGUGUAGCGGUGAAAUGCGCAGAUAUCAGGAGGAACACCUAUUGCGAAGGCAGCUCGCUGGGACGUGACUGACGCUGAGACGCGAAAGCGUGGGGAGCAAACAGG